AAUCUACUCUCUCCGUUCCGAAUUACUUGUCGCAGAUAUGGACGUAUGUAGAUUUAGUUUAGUUGUAGAUACAUUCAUUUCUGCGACGAGUAAUUUAGAACGGAGGGAGUAGUAC
rnacentral:pre_miRNA from 1 species